rnacentral:rRNA from 1 species
GUUGACGCUGGCGGCAGGCCUAACACAUGCAAGUCGAACGAGGGGCGGACGGGUGAAUAAUGUCGAGGAACCUGCCCGAUGGAGGGGGAUAACUCCGGGAAACGGUAGCUAAUCCCGCAUAGCAUCCGAUGUGCCCAGGAUGGAUUAGCUAGUAGGUGGGGUAACGGCUAACCAAGGCGACGAUCCCUAGCCGGUCUGAGAGGAUGACCAGCAACACUGGAACUGAGACACGGUCCAGACUCCUACGGGAGGCAGCAGUGGGGAAUAUUGCGCAAUGGGCGCAAGCCUGACCCAGCAAUGCCGCGUGAGUGAAGAAGGUCUUCGGAUUGUAAAGCACUUUUAGUAGGGAGGCGGUACCAACAGAAUAAGCACCGGCUAACUACGUGCCAGCAGCCGCGGUAAUUC